rnacentral:rRNA from 1 species
GACGAACGCUGGCGGCGUGCUUAACACAUGCAAGUCGAACGGUAAGGCCCUUCGGGGUACACGAGUGGCGAACGGGUGAGUAACGCGUGAGUAACCUGCCCUUCACUCCGGGAUAACAGUUGGAAACGGCUGCUAAUACCGGAUAUUCAGCUCCUGUCGCAUGGUGGGGGUUGGAAAGUUUUGGUGGUGGAGGAUGGGCUCGCGUCCUAUCAGCUUGUUGGUGGGGUGAUGGCCUACCAAGGCGUCGACGGGUAGCCGGCCUGAGAGGGCGACCGGCCACAUUGGGACUGAGAUACGGCCCAAACUCCUACGGGAGGCAGCAGUGGGGAAUAUUGCACAAUGGGCGGAAGCCUGAUGCAGCAACGCCGCGUGCGGGAUGACGGCCUUCGGGUUGUAAACCGCUUUCAGCAGGGACGAAGCGCAAGUGACGGUACCUGCAGAAGAAGCACCGGCUAACUACGUG